rnacentral:tRNA from 1 species
AUGUAGCUCAGUGGAAGAGUGUUUGCCUAAGGUGUAUAAGCACCUGGGUUUGAUCCCCAGCAU